UGACGGCCCGCGUCCCUGUUACUCAGCGGAGCGGCCGAGGCUGGACGACGCGGCUAGGAUCGAGGAGCGGCGAGCAGAGCUGGGUAACGGCCGCGGCGACUGCCCAGACCGCCCCUGUCCCCGCUGGCGGGCUUCCCUGUCGCCGUUCGCUGCGCUGCCGGCAACUGUUCGGUACCGUACCCAGAUGAAGAGGUUUGGUUUGAAGGUAAAGGAAGGUAUCCUUUCAUGGAAGAGGAUGCUUUGACUGAAGUAUAAUAGAUGGACCUUUAAAUGAGACAAUUACAUAAGAGAUGUCUGUUAAGGAAGGUAUGGUUAUGUUCUGGGUCAUUUUUUAAGCAGUAUAUCUGGAAGUUCAAGUGUAAUGUUAGGAAGUAGAAUUAGAUUUGGUCUAAAUAUACAACAGCUUUUGUUUAUUUCUAAAUUUUAUUUUUUCCAGUCUUGCAGCCUUACAGUCAUUUGUAAUGGUUACCUCAGAUUCCCCUGCUGUGGUUAACGUUAAACCUAGGAGGUCAGAUGCUCUAAGUGAACAUGUUUAGUGCUGUGCCUGACAAAAGCAAGCAAUCAAAAUGGGACUUCCUUGAGGGCAGGCCUGUCUUGCAUCUGUUUCUCCACCACCUAGCCUGGAAUAUAGUAAGUGUUCAAUAAAAGUCGGAUUGAUGAAAAGCUCUUUGUAAUUGAUAAUAUUUAAAUUCAAGCCUUAAAAAAAAACUGUAAUGUUCUCCAUAAAGUUUUGGAAGCUUCAUGCAACUGUCGCUUCAGAUGGCUAAAUGAUCAGUUCAUGUACAUUAUCUGUUAUGAUGACAUGGGCUUUUGAAUCACGUGUAGGUCAUUCACUGUCCUAAAAUAAAAUCUUGUCUAAAUGUUUUUUUAAUAUGAUUAAUAAACUAAAGUAGGUUGUGGGGUGUGUGUUUCUGUGUAUGUACUAGUUUAUGUGUGUCUGUGUGUGUAUGUACGUAAUGCACACACAGGCACACAUAAACUGGUAUUUCAGUAGGGGUCUAAAAUGAUUGCAUUUACAAUUUUGUGAAUAUUAUUUGAAAGGUUUUUGGUGACUCAUUUUGUGAAAAAUUGAGGACAAAGCCACAUAAAUGUUUUAUUAGAAAUAUUUCUAAUAUUUUGGAAAUGUUUACUUGAAAUGUUUGGUUUUAAGUUCUAACUUGUGUUAACACAUUGGUACAAAAUAUGAUCCUAAAACUCAAAAUAAUUCAUUUAUCCAAGUUAAAGCUCUUUUCCACUCCCUGAACAGUUUAGCGUUUGUUUUGGAUUUGAAAGAAUACGAAAAGAGUGAACUAAUUAAUGAGCUUCUUAUUAUUUGCUGUAAAGUGGAAAUGAAGAAAUAAGAAAAUGAUACUUUUUUAAGAUGAGGGAUGAAAACCUUUGAGAUACCAAUGUUUUAUUGCUUUACCUAGUUAAGGUAUGUCAGAUUCUAGUAGGGGUUACUGACAAUCCUUUGGCAGUAGGUCACAGUCAGCCUAUGUAAAGAACCAGAGUUGUGUUAUUUUGUUUUCCAAAUUAUUGGUUUUUAAAAAUAGCUUUAUUGAAAUUUAAUUGACAUGAAAUUCACCUGUUAGAGUGUAUAUAUUUCAGUGGUUUUUAGUAUAUUCACAAUGUUGUGCGUUGAUCACUAUCACCAAUUCCAGAACAUUGUCAUCACCCCAAGAAGAAACACCAUAUUCAUUAGCAGUCACUCUGAAUUUCACUUCAAAUUAUGCUUUAAAGUAAGAGAUAUAGCAUCGAUUCUGUUAGUAAAUAUAUUCCUUUAAUAAGUAUGAAAAGGGCUCCUUUUAAGUGUCCUGUCCUGGCAGAAUAGGAAACUAUAUCCUUCACACUCCUUUAGAUCGGGGGAAAUGCCAUUUGGAAAGGAAGUUAGUGCAAGAAUACAUUGUACACAAAUUAAUGUGGUUAGAAUCUUAAGUAUUUGCUACAUGCCUGAUAUUAUCGAAGUGACCUUGGGAGGAUGAGAUGUUCAGUGAAACAACUUGAAGUAAUUUGUUGUUAAAUGACUAGUCCCCAACUAUCCUAGUGCUAAGAGGUUGUUGAAUAGGAGCCUGCUUCUUGUUGGUCAGCUUUGCCAGCGGGUUGAAUUUUGACAUAUUUGAGUCAUCUACAUGGUUGAGAUGCUUUGUUGCACGAGUAGAAAUACAAAAUAAUGUCUGACAUUAGGAUUCCAGCGCUCUAGAGGUCUCUGGUCAAGUCAAUGGUAUGGGUAGUAGCCUUUCUGAUUCACGUAGUCCAAGGAAGUCAUUAUAACCGCAUAGCUUUAUAUAUGAAUCAUUUGCCUAUGUCAGUGAACUGUGAUGCUGAUUGUCUUCAUCAUAUGCUCUUUACCUGAACAUUUAGAAGCCUUGCAUUUUUACUCUUAAUGCAGGUUAAGUUGAACUUUGAUUUCAGAAAUGAUUUGACUGAAAGGUGACAGAAGUAUUGAAAUGAGUUACCCUGUCAUUCAGGUCAAUAGGUGGAGCUAGAGCAAUCCAGGAAUCAGACCUAGGUUCGUUUCUCAGUUCUGCCAUCUGGACUUUGUCAUCAACAAGUUCUGGAGCUUUAGACUAGCCUUAUGGGUUUCUAGAAGGAAAAUCCACAGAGGUAAAGCAUCAUUUCAUCACAUCCUGUCAAGGCUUCUUGGUGAAUUUUUGGAUGAAGCCAUUAAAUUAAUUGCUUGCCAUCAUGAGCAGAAGCAAGCGUGACAACAAUUUUUAUAGUGUAGAGAUUGGAGAUUCUACAUUCACAGUCCUGAAACGGUAUCAGAAUUUAAAACCUAUAGGCUCAGGAGCGCAAGGAAUAGUAUGCGCAGCUUAUGAUGCCAUUCUUGAAAGAAAUGUUGCAAUCAAGAAGCUAAGCCGACCAUUUCAGAAUCAGACUCAUGCCAAGCGGGCCUACAGAGAGCUAGUUCUUAUGAAAUGUGUUAAUCACAAAAAUAUAAUUGGCCUUUUGAAUGUUUUCACACCACAGAAAUCCCUAGAAGAAUUUCAAGAUGUUUACAUAGUCAUGGAGCUCAUGGAUGCAAAUCUUUGCCAAGUGAUUCAGAUGGAACUAGAUCAUGAAAGAAUGUCCUACCUUCUCUAUCAGAUGCUGUGUGGAAUCAAGCACCUUCACUCUGCUGGAAUUAUUCAUCGGGACUUAAAGCCCAGUAAUAUAGUAGUAAAAUCUGACUGCACUUUGAAGAUUCUUGACUUCGGUCUGGCCAGGACUGCAGGAACGAGUUUUAUGAUGACGCCUUACGUAGUGACUCGCUACUACAGAGCACCCGAGGUCAUCCUUGGCAUGGGCUACAAGGAAAACGUUGACAUUUGGUCAGUUGGGUGCAUCAUGGGAGAAAUGAUCAAAGGUGGUGUUUUGUUCCCAGGUACAGAUCAUAUUGAUCAGUGGAAUAAAGUUAUUGAACAGCUUGGAACACCAUGUCCUGAAUUCAUGAAGAAACUGCAACCAACAGUAAGGACUUAUGUUGAAAACAGACCUAAAUAUGCUGGAUAUAGCUUCGAGAAACUCUUCCCUGAUGUACUUUUCCCAGCUGACUCGGAACACAACAAACUUAAAGCCACCACCAAAGAUCCCUGACAAGCAGUUAGAUGAAAGGGAACACACAAUAGAAGAGUGGAAAGAAUUGAUAUAUAAGGAAGUUAUGGACUUGGAGGAGAGAACCAAGAAUGGAGUUAUACGGGGGCAGCCCUCUCCUUUAGCACAGGUGCAGCAGUGAUCAAUGGCUCUCAGCAUCCAUCGUCAUCGUCGUCUGUCAAUG